CGUGCUUAACACAUGCAAGUCGAACGAUGAAGCCUUCGGGUGGAUUAGUGGCGAACGGGUGAGUAACACGUGAGUAACCUGCCCCCUACUUUGGGAUAACAGUUGGAAACGGCUGCUAAUACCGAAUAUUCUCUGCGCAUCGCAUGGUGUGUGGUGGAAAGUUUUUCGGUGGGGGAUGGGCUCGCGGCCUAUCAGCUUGUUGGUGGGGUAAUGGCCCACCAAGGCGACGACGGGUAGCCGGCCUGAGAGGGCGACCGGCCACACUGGGACUGAGACACGGCCCAGACUCCUACGGGAGGCAGCAGUGGGGAAUAUUGCACAAUGGGCGAAAGCCUGAUGCAGCGACGCCGCGUGGGGGAUGACGGCCUUCGGGUUGUAAACCUCUUUCAGUAGGGAAGAAGCGAAAGUGACGGUACCUGCAGAAGAAGCGCCGGCUAACUACGUGCCAGCAGCCGCGGUAAUACGUAGGGCGCAAGCGUUGUCCGGAAUUAUUGGGCGUAAAGAGCUUGUAGGCGGUUUGUCACGUCUGGUGUGAAAACCCAUCGCUUAACGAUGGGCUUGCAUCGGGUACGGGCAGGCUAGAGUGCAGUAGGGGAGACUGGAAUUCCUGGUGUAGCGGUGGAAUGCGCAGAUAUCAGGAGGAACACCGAUGGCGAAGGCAGGUCUCUGGGCUGUUACUGACGCUGAGAAGCGAAAGCAUGGGGAGCGAACAGGAUUAGAUACCCUGGUAGUCCAUGCCGUAAACGUUGGGCACUAGGUGUG
rnacentral:rRNA from 1 species